rnacentral:rRNA from 1 species
AUUGAACGCUGGCGGCAUGCUUUACACAUGCAAGUCGAACGGUAACAGGGUGCUUGCACCGCUGACGAGUGGCGAACGGGUGAGUAAUGCGUCGGAACGUGCCGAGUAGUGGGGGAUAACGCAGCGAAAGUUGUGCUAAUACCGCAUACGUACUGAGGUAGAAAGUGGGGGACCUUCGGGCCUCACGCUAUUCGAGCGGCCGACGUCUGAUUAGCUAGUAGGUGAGGUAAAGGCUCACCUAGGCGACGAUCAGUAGCGGGUCUGAGAGGAUGAUCCGCCACACUGGGACGGAGACACGGCCCAGAGUCCUACGGGAGGCAGCAGUGGGGAAUUUUGGACAAUGGGCGAAAGCCUGAUUCAGCCAUGCCGCGUGUCUGAAGAAGGCCUUCGGGUUGUAAAGGACUUUUGUCAGGGAGGAAAUCCCUAGUGCUAAUAACACUGGGGGAUGACAGUACCUGAAGAAUAAGCACCGGCUAACUACGUGCCAGCCGCCGCCGUAA